UACAUGGGGUGCAACCGUUGCUCGGAAUUAUUGGGCGUAAAGCGCACGUAGGCGGUUUGUUAAGUCGGAUGUGAAAUCCCUCGGCUCAACUGAGGAAGUGCAUCCGAAACUGGCAGGCUUGAGUACUAAAGAGGGUCGCGGAAUUCCCGGUGUAGAGGUGAAAUUCGUAGAUAUCGGGAGGAACACCGGUGGCGAAGGCGGCGACCUGGUCCGAUACUGACGCUGAGGCGCGAAAGCGUGGGGAGCAAACAGG
rnacentral:rRNA from 1 species